rnacentral:rRNA from 1 species
GAUGAACGCUGGCGGCGUGCCUAAUACAUGCAAGUCGAGCGAACGGACGAGAAGCUUGCUUCUCUGAUGUUAGCGGCGGACGGGUGAGUAACACGUGGAUAACCUACCUUUAAGACUGGGAUAACUUCGGGAAACCGGAGCUAAUACCGGAUAAUAUUUUGAACCGCAUGGUUCAAAAGUUAAAGACGGUCUUCCUGUCACUUAUAGAUGGUUCCGCGCUGCAUUAGCUAGUUGGUAAGGUAACGGCUUACCAAGUCAACGAUGCAUAGCCGACCUGAGAGGGUGAUCGGCCACACUGGAACUGAGACACGGUCCAGACUCCUACGGGAGGCAGCAGUAGGGAAUCUUCCGCAAAGGGCGAAAGCCUGACGGAGCAACGCCGCGUGAGUGAAGAAGGUCUUCGGAUCGUAAAACUCUGUUAUUAGGGAAGAACAUAUGUGUAAGAAACUGUGCACAUAUUGACGUUACCUAAUGAGAAAGCCACGGCUAACUACGUG